UACAGAGGGGGCAAGCGUUGUUCGGAAUUACUGGGCGUAAAGGGCGCGUAGGCGGCCCGCUAAGUCGAACGUGAAAUCCCCGAGCUCAACUCGGGAACUGCGUCCGAUACUGGCGGGCUUGAAUCCGGGAGAGGGAUGCGGAAUUCCAGGUGUAGCGGUGAAAUGCGUGAGAUAUCUGGAGGAACACCGGUGGCGAAGGCGGCAUCCUGGACCAACACUGACGCUGAGGAGCGAAAGCCAGGGGA
rnacentral:rRNA from 1 species